CCCUGGUUAGCUCAGUUGGUAGAGCGCUCCACCUGUAAUGGUGAGGUCCCGGGUUCGAUACCCGGACAAGGCG
rfam:Ixodes scapularis strain Wikel colony gcontig_1108378792738, whole genome shotgun sequence.